GUUUAGUUUUUGAAUAUUUUUCUGUCAAUCUUUUGCGAAUUUAAGGGUUGAAGAAUAGUUUUGUUUUCCUUGUUUUUUUUCUUCACUUUGCUUUGGAGUCAGGCACUGAUUUUUCUUGUAUUUUGUUUAAUGUUCUUGCUGUGUACGUAUUUGCAAGACAUUACUGUAAACCAGUUUUGGGAAUGUCUAGAAUAAACUAGGAUUUAUGUUUUUGAAUAGUCUUCUUUGCCUGUGCCUCACUUCUCCCAUCCCCUUAUCACUUUGUUAUGGCUCCAGGUGCCCAGAGUUUGAAACUGUGCAAAGACACCACUGCACGACACACCACAUCACAUACUGCAUGGUAAUUAGCAAAUGCAAGUAACAAUUUCACUGUACUCUGUACAUGUUACAGUAAUGAUCACAUAAACCUAAAAUAUAAAAGUUACUGUAGUACAAAGCCAUCUAAUUUUUUCUUUUUAAACUAUUUCCGAGUUAACAUCAUACAUUGCUCCAACAAUCGUAAUCCUUUUAUUUUACUACUUGAAUAACUUAUGACCCACUAAUUGUGGUCCUUCACUGUACUUCUGAAGAACUGGUAUAGUUAUAUUUCUUUA